rnacentral:lncRNA from 1 species
AGAUGGCCAAGGAGGACUCAAGGUAAUGUUUCUGUCACAUACCCACACCAGAGCAUGUCAGUCUUUUUGAGGAUUGAACAGAGUCUCCAUAGCAGACAGGACAUUAAAUUCGGUGACCGUGCUAUGAAAAUAUGCAAAGAUAAUGAAAGUUGAGCUAAGACCAGUCUGAAAGCUACAGUUACAGAGAGAGAAGAAGUAGAAGAAGAAAAGAAGAAGAAGAAGAAGAAGAAGAAGAAGAAGAAGAAGAAGAAGAAGAAGAAGAAGAAGAAGAAGAAGAAGAAGAAGAAAAGUUGGAUGGGUGGAGAGGAUCUAGGAAAUGGAGAAAGUGAAACCACAAUCAGAGUACAUUAUAUGAAUUUUCAGUAAGAAAUUAAGUGCUUUGACUUUAAAUAUAAAAUAACUACAAACAAAACAAACUAUGCUUCCCAGUUCUGCCCCCACCUCCCAGACUGUGCACCAUUUUGCAUCCUUGACUUGUUCUUCGGAAGAAGAAAGUGGUGGUAUAGGGAAAUGUAAAACCACCACAUCUCAAAUUUAGGAGUUAUUUCCCCAUAAUAUUAAACAGAACCCAGUGAGUUUAUAAUAAACACAUCAUAGGCAGGGAAAGCCUGAAUCCUUACAAGUUCCUGUGUCUAUGCACACAUUUUCACAUGAAAUUUGUCAAAUGUAGCUCCAACUUCACCUAGAACAAUUGCAUUGUCUUUAUUCAAUGGCAUUCACUGUCCAGUUACUUUGCUAGCCUUGAGUUAUUAAAGUCAACUUUUAUGCUUUCCAAUCCAUGCUAGGUACCACUCAAAUAUGUAACCCCAUUUGCCUGUUUUGAGUGUCUAAUGGUGCCAGUUUAAGAAUUAGCACUUCCCAUUUUAUCAUAUUUUAGUUCACAUGAUCUUGUAGGGUUUUUCUUCACCAAGCCAAUCCUUUAUGUUAAUAAAAUCACAAUUAGAAGAAAUUCAGAAUUAACAAUUUGAUGUACACGUGGAAGUAAUUUAUGCUUUGUAGAGCAACAUAAAAUCAUUGUUAAAUAAA